GUCCAAGGUACUCCAACCCAACCCGCCCUCUCUCACUUUUCUGCGUCAAUUCUUCAUAUGGUUUACAUUUAUGACCUCAGUUGCUAAUAGAGAUUGAUUUAUUGUCGCUGAGACCCUGAAAAACGUAGGGUUUAGGGUUUAAAUUUGGUGGGCAAGGGAUUAGGAAGGAAAAAAAAAAGGAGCAGAAAAUCAUAGAAAUAGAAUAACUGAAGUUCAAGAUACUAUAUUAGAUAGUAGUUUGUGUAAUUUUUCUGUUGGCUGAGUUUUUUUGUUCUAAAAAAUUCUGUCAUUUUGGUUUUUGGGCAAACUUCAAUUUUUGAAAGGAAGGCAAUAUUAUGGUAGGUAUUGGCUGACUGAAGUUGGAGAUUCACAUUUUUUUGCCCUGUACUAGGAGAAGUUACACAUGAGCAUGACCAAAAUGCUCUUCUCAUUGUUUUCUUUGCUGUAAUUUGCAUGUUUUGAUCCAAUUUAUGAGAAGAAACCAUUACUGUGUCUGAGAGUGACGCAGCUUGGCUGCCAGAAAAGUUUCUCAAUCAGAAGCUAGUUUACUUGGAUCAAGAAGCUUCCAACAGCCAAGAAGAGGAUAUGAAAAGCUGGUGAUGUGGAGAUAUUAGCUGUCACCGAUGUCGUAUGGACUGAAUGACAGCCGGUGCAAUCAAUUCCUUGGAAGAAGUUGGAGACAUAUCCUUACCAACUCAACAGAACCUUUAGGAGUAAUGGUCUCUUGAAGUCUCGAGGAGUGUUCCCAGAAGCACGUUGGCACUGGAUUGGUGUAGUAGCUUUUUUUGGAUUUAUUCUUCUAUAUAUAUAUUCAACUUCCUUUUUAUUUUGGCACUUCAGUAUCUUCAACCUCUUGGUAAGCCUCAUGCAGUACUUUCCAAAGAGGCCUUGGCAAAGAAACAAGCCACCGAAACUGGAGAGGUCUUUGAAUUAUUGUCAACAGGAAAGAGCUAUAUUGGUGUAGCUAAUGAAAGAAUAGAUAUUGUGUUAGUCGAUCUUACUAAUUAGCGAGGAAUGGUUCUUCUUUUUAAACCCCUCUCAGUUACAUCUGAUAAAAUCAUAUAUGCAGUUGACAUGCCACAGGUACCUUCAAUUCAUUUUUUGGCCAUUUCUUUUGAAAUAAACUUGAACUUCUUAGAUCACAUUGAGUUAUAGAUGGUUUAUUUGUUUGUUAAUUCAUUGUAUCUGAUGAACUCCGACUUGGCCUUGACACCUACUAGAGGUGUGUGGAAGUUUUUUUUUUU